AUUGAACGCUGGCGGCAGGCCUAACACAUGCAAGUCGAGCGGGGUUUUCGGACCUAGCGGCGGACGGGUGAGUAAUGCGUAGGAAGCGAGCCGAUAGAGGGGGAUACCAGUUGGAAACGACUGUUAAUACCGCAUAAUGUCUACGGACCAAAGUGUGGGACCUUCGGGCCACAUGCUAUCGGAUGCGACUAAGUGGGAUUAGCUAGUUGGUGGGGUAAUGGCUCACCAAGGCGACGAUCCCUAGCUGGGUUGAGAGGAUGAUCAGCCACACUGGAACUGAGACACGGUCCAGACUCCUACGGGAGGCAGCAGUGGGGAAUAUUGGACAAUGGGCGCAAGCCUGAUCCAGCCAUGCCGCGUGUGUGAAGAAGGCCUUCGGGUUGUAAAGCACUUUCAGUAGGGAGGAAGGGUGUUGUGUUAAUAGCACAGCAUUUUGACGUUACCUGCAGAAGAAGCACCGGCUAACUCUGUGCCAGCCGCCGCAGUAAAAC
rnacentral:rRNA from 1 species